UACGUAGGGGGCAAGCGUUGUCCGAAUUUAUUGGGCGUAAAGAGCGUGUAGGCGGUCAGGUAGGUCCGUUGUGAAAACUCGAGGCUCAACCUCGAGACGCCGAUGGAAACCAUCUGACUAGAGUCCGGGAAGAGGAGAGUGGAAUUCCGUGGUGUAGCGGUGAAAUGCGCAGAUAUCAGGAAGAACACCCGUGGCUAAGGCGGCUCUCAGUACGGUACUGACGCUGAGACGCGAAAGCCGUGGGGAGCGAACAGG
rnacentral:rRNA from 1 species